rnacentral:lncRNA from 10 species
GUUUUUUAAGAUAUCCCAGACUCAAUGGAUAAGUUUGGAAACAAUUUAGUCUUUACCUUGCUUUCCUGAACCAAAAGCCUUUGCAGAACUGAUCUCUUUUUUUUUUUUUUCUUGUGACUGCAUGGCAAUCCUCUUGUUUACUUCUAGUCAGGGAUGGUUAUACACAGGAGUGGGCACAGGACCCAACAGAACACGCCAACGGCUUCAGUACAGCCCCCUUUGCCCUCUGUAGCCAUUAGGCCAGGGUUGGCAACUGAGGCUGAGUGAUAAGGUUUGGCUCUGUCCCCACCCAAAUUUCAUCUUGAAUUGUAGUUCCCGUAAUCCCCAUGUGUCAUGGAGGAGACCCAGUGGGAGGUAACUGAAUCAUGGGGGUGGUUUCCCCCGUGCUAUUCUCAUGAUAGUGAGUAAGUUCUCACAAGAUCUGAUAGUUUUGUAAGAGGCUUCCCCCUUCGCUCAGCUCUCAUUCUUCUCUCUCCUGCCACCAUGUGAAGGACAUGUUUGCUUCCCUUUCUGCCGUGAUGGGAUAUCAUUUUCUAGGGUAAAUAUGCUUCCCUAAUGGAAAACAUGGACCUCUUUAGAAUCAGAAAUCUCAUCUGUACCUGAACCUGAUUUCAACUCCCAAAUCCUGAAUUUGAAUUGACAAUCUAAAAUAACAAGGUUUUGAGAUCCUGGGAGGAAGCAGCCAGCUGUCAUGUCAUAAAAACUUUUAAGUGAUCCUAUGAAGAGACCCAAGGGGUGAGGAACUGAGACCUCAUGAUAACAUCCAGCAUGAAUUUAGCUGUGGGAGCCAGUCACAUUGGAAGUGGAUCUUGCAGCCCCAGGCAAGACUGGAGAUGACUGCAGCUUUUGUGAACAUCUUCACUGCAAUAUCAUUACAUACCCCGAGCCUGAGCCAGACAGUUGAGCCUUUCCCAGAUUCCUGACCCUCAGAAACUCUUAUUUUAAUAAAUUCUUAUUUUUCUACAUUGCUAAGUUGUAGGGUGAUUUGUAUAAAGCAGUAGGUAAUUGGCACAAUUAGACACUCAGUAGGCAUUUGGUCACAUAAAGUAUGCCUCAGAUAGUUUGCAAAUGCCUCUGGAGGUUUGCCAUUGUUCCUCCAACAUGGUAGGUUUUCUAUCAGGAUUUGCUGAUUGAUUGUGUUCUUCCUAAAAAAAAAUCUAGGGAAUUUUCAUGGGAAACUGAAUGGAUAGCUGUCAUUCUUUUCCUAUCCAUUUUCUCAGUUUUUCCCGAGGACGGAGUAGUUCAAGUUGAACUCUCAGCUCCACAUAUGGAUAUGCGGCACAGGUCUGG